UGCGAUUGCGUACUCGCGUGAUGUCGCGUGCGUCAGCUCAGAAGUAAACGGACGGUUACAGUACAGUUUAAAUUGUGGUUCCAGUUCCAGCUUGCUUAAGCUUAGCCUUUAUUCAGAUUAAUUUGUGGGAAAAUGGAUGUGCCGAAUUUCCACUGCCUUUUUUCAUUUUUUGAAGAGGACUCGUUUGCUGUAGGGGACCUCAAGUGGGUAAACCUGAGUGGUUGUGGAGUGUCUAGAGACAAAUUGAACCCAAAACAUUGGAAAAAAGAUACCGUGAUAACGGUGAGAUGGCCUGACAAAAAGGGCCAGUAUCAGCUCUACCCUGCGAAAAUUCUUAAAAUGUCAGCUGAUAAGCACAGUCUGAUCAAAUUAAGAGAUCAGCUUAUAAAGGGCUAUGAAAGCGAAGAGGACUGUGGUCGUGGAAAAAGGAAGAGAAAAGCUCUUUGCAUCUCUUCUGAUGAUGAAGAGCCUGCGGAGAAGGACAUAAUUAAGAAAAAGCCUGAAAAGAGGCCUAGUCUCUUAUCAAAACUGCUGGAAAAGCGCAAGGAGCAGUUAAUUGGCAGUACAGCUGUACAGGAAUGCACAAAUUGCUGUGCCUUGAAAGAAAAAAUAAAGCAGCUGGAAGAAGACAACAGAAGAGUAGUUCUUCACUUGGACACCAUAAAUGAGUUGAAGAGCAUGGUGUGUGCGCUGAAAGGGGACUUAGAAGAAAGAAGUGCCCCUUCAAAGCAUCAAAAACCAGCCAUAUUUGCACAUCCACACUCAUCGCAAGACAACCAGGUGGAACCCCUUGAGGAUGAUGUGACCAUUGCUGAUGGCGUUACAGUUAACAAAAUACAGCUUAUGCGAUGCAACCAUCAGAGACCUUCAAAACUUGUGUGUGAUCUGCUUGGGGUGAUGUUCACAAUGGAGGAGCUGUCAACACACUCCUUAACUGGAUUAAAGGGAGGUGCAUCAGAGUGUGAAACCUUCCUUGAAUAAGAAGCAUGUCAAUGCCAUUUUUGAGUACACUUUAAAGAAGUUUCCUUCUUCAAAUAUUAACGAGCUAAGAGUGGCAGCAAGAAAUAAAUUAAACAAUGCAAGCAAGCUGUUCAAGAAAGGAUCUCACCAAAUUCUGGAUGAGGAGUAAAGGAAGGAUGUUGGAUACAAUUUCUGACUUUUCUAUAAAUCUAUUUUAAAAUACAUUGUUUUAUUAGUUAUCUCUUUAGUGCAUUAAAUGUUAUUACUUUGGACCCCAGUAAAAGAAAUUUGUUAAAUGUGUUCAAUCAGAUGGGAAAAGGUAAUAAUAAUACAACUGCCAAAUCUUUUACUGUAUGUCCUUAUAGGUUUAUUAGUCAAUUUGGGUUCAUUUUCUGCCUUUUGAUUUUAUUGCUUUGUAUCUGACAAAUUAUAUGAAUCAGAAAUCAUUAAAUAACGUGACAAGACUAAAAUACAGUAAGAAUACACUUCCAAAUAAAAAAAUAAAACAAAAAUUUUCUGGACCAAAAUUAAAAAAAAGUGUCAGUUAAGUUUUCAAUCACAUUUUCAUCUUCAAACUGUCUUUUCAACUUGUGGCUGCUUGUUCAAAUAUAAAUUCUAACUAUUGCCUUAAAAUAACAUUAAUGAAUAUAUAUGGUACAUAAUGAAUUGUUUUGUUUUUUAAAACCUUUUUUCCAGCCAACUAUACCCCCAUGAAAAAAAAAAAGGACCUGAAGAUGUGUUCUAGUUCAAAUGCAUUUGUGAUAAGUAAAUUUGUACAAAAAAAUAAAUAAAUACUUUUGUCAAACUAGUUUUAGUUUUACUUCCCAAAUAAAAUAUGGAUGAACAUCUA